UGUGUAUUUGGUUACUUCUUCCGGUUGUCGCUUAGGGACUUGGUGCCUUGCGCGGCGCCACUGUUUACGUUUACAUAUUUCGGCCGAUCGUUCGCACUCGGUUUAGCACGCGAUAGAUUAACGUCUGCUCUUCAGUGUCGUGUUUACUUUCUUACCGUUUGGUGUUUAAUUUAUCAUCUGGGAAACUGCUGCACAAAUUCUGUUCGUUAUUUACAGCACACUGUACUCGUAUGAUAUCGAUACUUACAUUCCAAUUCCGAAUAAUUGCUGUUAUAACCUACGAAGAAAAUUUGUGCAACUAAUUUAGUGUUUUAAAAGUGUUUGGUGUUACAAUUGUGCAAGGAGGUUAUCUUCUAACGAGGUUCCAUAUGGCAAAGGAGCUGCUAAUAUGCUAAUUUCAUAGAAGCAUUCCUGUCAUCUUCCAAAUUUUCAUGCCAAAAGGUCCUUCCCCGAAUUGAAGGAUGCGGUGGGUGCGGAGGCACGCCAGUCACCAUCACUGAACAUCAUUUCUUUAUCAUCGUCUGAAAAAUACUGCCAGCCGAUCAAUCGGUAGCCGAGUUGAUAAAACAAGGAGCAAUCACGAGGACGAAACAGUUAAACUACUCGAUGGAUCUUACGGAGGCAUUCGCCCCGGGAGGGGGUGGGGAGGAUCUGCCAAAGACCGACUUCUUCGACUUCGUCGUCUCUCCGCCUCCGCACUGCGCGUCCGCGGACGGUGUAUCCGACGAGGAGAGCUUUCUUCAUCGUACAACCUGCAGAAGCAUCGGAUACCUUCAACAGAGUCACGAGGAGCACGAAACGAACCGUGAACUCCAUGGCUCGCCAUUUAUCAAAGAAACCAACAACAACACUCUAACAGCCCUGCCACCAGUUUCGACCAUCACCGGUUCCCUCAGUCAUCACCAUCACCAUCAUCACGUCAGGACGCAUCACAGUGCUUGCAACGUGCAGCAGAAUAACGAGCAGACCCCGAUGGACCAGUCGGAGUGCGACUACUGGGGCACCGACGAGACCAAGGAACAAACCUGUAACAUACUCCUGGAGGACCUAAACAAAUACUGUUGGUCGGCCAACGCUCAGAACCACGGCAACGACAGCGUCACCGUCCACCAGGCUUCCAACGAGCAUCAUCAAGCGGUGGCUCGAGGAUGUUCCACCAACGACAGACAGAAUACGGACGGUGCCAUCUACACGUUGACCGUGUUGAACAACGAAGCGAACUCCAUGGACGCCCUGGACUGCUGCAAGAGUCCAGCCCCAACCUCCAGCGACUCCUGGUCCCUGCGACCUAAUCUGGACCUGGACGCGAUACUCAGCAUGGAGCCCGCCUCCGCGGACCAGGAACACGAUCAGACCGCAACCGUGACCGAAGUGUCGCGAACGGUCAACGACAGGUUUCAUCCUGACCGUUUCUCCGUCGCUUCCUCUCAGUACGCCACAGACGACAGUGGCUUCGUCGAGAGCAAGGAACUUUGCGGCAGGGGAUCCUCCGCGGGAGCCAACUGCGCAAGCGGCGACAACAAUAACGAUUGGAAGCUGUCUGAUCAGAACCUGCAGGAAGCCGCAGCAGCAGCAGCCGCGGCUGCAGUUGCAGUUGGCGCGGGUGACUCUGCGGAGAGUCUCUUAAGAAGCGCCCUUCAGGGUAAGCUCUACACCGGCCCGACUCAAGUGGUCUCAUCCUCGUCGCCGUCUACACAAGGCUCCACCAUAUCGUUACCAGUGACGAGCAACGCUGGCCUGCAAAUAGUCUCCGACCAACAGCAGCAACAGCAACAGCAACAACAACAGCAGCAGCAGCAACAACAACAGGACGAAUCCAUGCACACGUGUACCGAUGAGGAUCUGUUACUUUCGCAAUUGGACCAAACGACCUAUCGCCCUGGCGAUUACGAGAAACUGAAGAGCAUAGCCAACGAAGUGGUCGAAUCCUAUUGCAGUCUCGAACCAGUCUGUAAUGUCUCGGCAACGACCACCGUGAUGUAUACACUGGACCCAACGAGUGGAAGCUUAGGAACCAUCACUCUUCCAGCAGACCUGGGUCAGGUUAGCACGGUCACGGUGGUCACAGCGGCCCAGCAAGACGUUCUUCAGCAACAGACUGCUCCUAGAGCCGAAGUGGAACAACAACAGUCGACCAAUCAGAUCCAAAUAGCACCGUCCAGAGUGGUGACUACGAAGGCACCCAAAAAGUACUGUCGAAGAGCCAACAGGAACAGCAACAGCUCGAACGCGGCCAGCAACGGCAGCAGCGGUUCGGAAACUGGUGGUACCACGAGUGGUCAGCAACAAGGCACUUCCGGCGGCUCUCCUGGCAGUGUCCAGCGCAAAGAACGCUCGUUGCAUUAUUGCAGCAUCUGCAGCAAAGGCUUCAAAGACAAGUACAGCGUGAACGUCCACAUCAGAACGCACACCGGCGAGAAACCCUUCGCUUGCUCCUUGUGCGGCAAAAGCUUCAGGCAGAAGGCGCACCUGGCGAAACACUACCAGACCCAUGUUACCCAGAAACCCAGCGUCCAGCAACAGGCGAGUGGAAACAGCGCCAGCAACAGCGGGAACAGCGGGAACCCCAGUCCCUCUGGGGAAACGGGUAGCACUACCACCAGCAACGUGACGAACAGGAGUCAGACCCAUCAGCAGGUGUCGGUCGAUCCCGCGGGGAACGCCUGUAAUCCACCCAGUUAGUCGCUCUAGGAAGAUUACGUCCGCCGAUUGAUCGUCUUCAGCGUCGGGUUUGACGCUUUCGAUCGUUGCUACCGGCUUCCCGAUGGGAGACAGCACCCUCGACAGGUGUACCGUCUGCUUUAUUCUUUCUUCUAAUUCAACUCCUCGACUCUUUGAUUCUAUAUUCUUGGCCGGUGAUCGAAUUCUUCGUCCACUGCCACUAGCUGAUCUACGAUGGUCGAGGUCGAUGAACCUUGAACCUGGCGAACCAUGACCGACGAAGUUCGCGAGAUGCAUGGACUAAUUAUCUCGGGAUUUCGUUUUAGACAGAGUAUUAACGGCGAACCGUUUUUUUUGACGAGUUCGUUGAUAUUUAUUCGAGCCGUAUACACGAUGACGCUUGCGAGGUAGAAGAAUAAGCGUUCGUCGUGAAACGCUCACUGAACACGUUCCGUCCAACGCUUUCCACGGCGUUUUUAAUCGUCACAGUAUUCUGUAAGAAUUACAGAAAGCCGUCCUUAGAAUCGAGUUGCGAAUUUAUCCGCGGGAAGGAGCGAGCUUCAGAUAACUUCCUCCAGGCCUGUUCAGCUGAGAUUGGUUAAAGGAGGUGAAAACUGAUAUCGCCACGCUCGUGAACACACCGUCGAUAAAUUUACGAUGAUAAGUUAAGUGAAAUAGGCGAGCACAGAUCGCCCUUUAUUUUUCUAUUCUUGUAAUUAAUUGUCUUCCGUUCAGGAUCAAUCGAUCGUUCAAGGUUACCGUUUCUAAGAGUUUCUUAGACGUAUUUAUGUUUGAGAUUUAUAAGGGACGUUAAUCUUCAAAUUUUAAUGAAACUUUGACGUGAUGUAGGCUAAAGAAAUAUUUCAUACGUAUUCUUUUAUAGUCAAGGAUCAUACUAGAGGGAUGAAAAGUACCCUUCAAACCCUUUUUAGAUAUUGACUUUAUCUGAAGUAUUUUUUAAAACUUCUAUUUUCUUUGUCUAUUUGAUCCCUAUGAUAAUUUUAUUUUACCAUAAAUAAUUUCCAAAAUAUUUUUCAGCAAAGUGAUUAACGUUUCUUGUUGGAUCAUGGAUCCAGAGUGUUACCAAUGGCGUUAUUAAGGGAUAAUAAAUUUACUUUAUAUCAAGCUUGAUCGAUCAAUUGAUUUUAAACGAACCGUAAUCGGAUCGUAGAUCGACGAUGGCCAUAAAGCGACUCGAUGAAAUUGUUGUUCCUAAGACGACUACAUAAGUCGUUCGACAAGAAAGGGCCACAUCGAGUACGAUCGAUCUUUAUUUAAUGCCGUUACGAGAUAUUAACGUUGAAGAUAUCUUAUUAGAAAGUAUUCUUCUUUUAAUUUUCUUCUAUUUUUCUCUUCCUCUUUGUUUCUUUUUUUUUUUUUUUUAUAUAGUAUACACAAACACACACACACACACAUCCAGAGACACGCGUAGACUAGCGUACGUAACGUAGAAACCGAAACGAGGAAGAAGGCUGACUUUAUUGAUGCCACGUUUUAUCCUCCACUCGUAAACUUUGAUUUCCAAUUAGCAUCGCGUCAUUGAAUGAGCCGGCGAUACGUGAGAAUCUUUUUUCCAUGGAAUCAGGACAAAUCGAGUCAACCAGCUGAGAACUGGGACACAGGAUGAACGAAAAGAUAUUAUUUUCUUAUCAUCUUUCUGAACUUUUAUGGACGAACUCCAGUCUACUGCAGAAAUGGCAAGUUUGUCAGAAGAAAUGUGGAAUUGUUGAUUUAAUGGAAAGGCAUUAGACGAGGCAGCGGUACUGCGAAAGAUCAUUCAAAAAUGAUAGUCGCGAGCGGUAUUCGACGCGUAACGCGACGGGGAAAACUUAUACAGGCGAAAAGGCGAAACGAGUGUUGCAUCGCGGAGGUCAGAGCUUCGGAGAGAGCCUCAGGUUGUUACGAGCAGCGUCCAGGUAAUUACAGGUUGCGAUAUUGCGUUACGUGCAUGCAUUACGCACCGGGCUCGCGAGAAAAACGAUACGUCCCGCGGCGGACGAUAAAUUCUGCUCGAAAGUCUAGCUUGGAUGUUUAGCUGCGACGUUUAUCGCUCCUCGCCUCGUCCAUCUGAACGUGUUAUCCUGCUGGACGUGAUAAUCGUGUCGAUACUAGAUUUUUACAUUUCUUACGACCUUAUCGACUUCCCGCGGAUAGGAUUGCGCAAACUUUUAAAAUUAUCAUUAUUAUUAUUGCAUUACGAGAAGAGCCUCUAAACAUUAGGUAAUUAAAUAUUUUUUAUAAAGGACAGUCCCGUAUUGGACAUAUUUUUAUAAAAUUCUUUUAUAAAUUUUACAUAGCUUCUUCAAGACCUCGUCAAUUCACGAAAAGAGUAUCUUAUUUUCAUCUACGGAGCCUUCUAUUAAUACCUACGUUAUGCCGUAGCAUAAAAUAUAAUACUUAUUUUAUAUGCAAAUUUUCUCCUCAGAUUCCAGUUUUAUUGUACAUAUUUUCAAAAGCGGUUGUUUCCAGCGCAAAAGACGUCGGUCGCGCUAUUUGCAGUUUCUUCUGCGGUUGCGGAAAACUGGUAGCACUUGCGGUUAAACGAUUCGGAAAAUACCGUGGGGUUAUUCACGGCCGCUCUACUUGUGGUCGAGAAAUUAUCGCGAAUCGCGAACUUAUAUAUUUCUUUAGCCUCGAUCUUGACAUAAAAUAUUUUUGAUAAAAAUUCGACGAUUUUAAUAAGAAACAUUUUAUCCAGAUACUUCUGAUUCCUUCGAGGGAAUCUAUAAAUUCUCCGAGUUUGAAAAUUUCAAUAAUAUUUGAGGUAGAUUAUGAAAUGCAAAUAGAGACGAAUAAAUAUUUAUCUUUGCUGAUAACUCUGUGUUGGCAGUGAGGUGGAGUAAAACGCGGUGAGAAACUUCGUAACCGCAACUCGUACUAAUUUUACGUGCAACCACAAAGUGUUAUUUACCAUAGGGUGUGUUAUUCUAUUCGUUUGUUCACAUCUGGUGCUACAAAAACGAAACUUGGACACGAAGUUUCUCGGGUUUCAGCAACAGUAAACAGUUUGUAUUUAAAACAAAACGCAUGCAUUUUUGUCCCUUUCGGAAAUCGUCGAAUCAUUAUUAUCAAACCACUUAUCACUACUUCGACUGUGUCUAACUCGUAAUCACCGAGUAAGAAACAACUUUCAUUCCCGCGAAUCAGUUUUAAUCUGAUCCAUAUUCGUAAGUGGAACACCUGCGAAUAACAGGAGCAAAGGGUUUAUCACUAGACCAGCUGCAAAUAUGUAUCAAUUUUAUCUAGAAGCCUAAUGGAACAAGUCUGUACUAUCGGUUAUUGACAAUUUACUGUUCUGUAAUUCCAUUGGUCGCGUUAGACAACGCUGUGAUCUAGCAAAAGUAGAGCGAGAUUGUAGAGAAUUUUCAGAAUUGUAACUCUGCUAACUCUGAUUACUGCUUGUAUUCUUAAAAACGUUUGAAAAUUACGGGAAUAACGCUGGUUCGUACUCUGCGAGCGAUGCUAUCAUAUUCCACUGCUUAUCGUUUCAUCGGUAACAGUUUAUCAGAGAUAAUACAGUUUGUACCAAAAAAAAAAUGUACAAACCAAACCAUUUUUAGCACGAAUGAAAUUGAAUGAAGUCUAUUAUUAUUUUAUACUUUGGAACUUUAUAAACUUUAUUUCUAAGCUGUCCUGGUUAAUUUGAAAUGUGUAAUUUGUAAAUGAAAGGUUGUGUACAUUAUUUCUGAAACAUCCUCUAGAUGGAAAGAUCGGAGCAACGUCUCAGACAAUUUUCCAUCGAUCUUCCGGAUAGAGUGGCGUUUCGCCGGUAUCAUUAGUCAGUUUCGCGAAGUGUAUCGUGACAGCGGAGGUUCUAGGAUCGUUCGAGGGAAACCGAUAACGCGGCGCAAAAGAUGCCGAUCGAUCGUUUAGAUGUUAGCCCCGGUGCAGUUUUACCGUUUCUCAUCGCGAAAUAUUAUCAAUAAUACUCUAUCCGUCGUCGUUCGAACGAUUCCAGUGGAUAAUGUCAAGGUAAUUGCUGAUGCUGCGAUAAGCAACUGGCGCUCCCUUGAGCUCUUCCUUUCCAUCGUUUCAUGGUGAGAAUUGCGCUCAAGAUAAGACACCCUGUUAAUUAACCGAAUCACGUGGCCUUACUUUUUAUCCCUAAUUGACUUUCACGCAGUACUUUCUUUCUUUUUUAUCGUUCAGUUGAAGAUGAAAUCGUUUCAGUGAAAAUUUUGACCGUUCCAUUAGGCUCGUUAGGCUUCAGGGGUUAAUUGCAAUUUUUGGCUGGAAAGAAAAUUCUCAUUAAUUAUUUUAUUCGUUUGAAAUUUUAUACUUUGGUAGCAAAUUCCCAAACAGAAUGAACAUUAUUUUUAUAAUCUUUUAUAUAUCUUUUAUAAAUCAUUAAUUAAUCAGGCAUUUCUUUUUUUUUUUUUUUUUUAAUUUAUAGACUGAAUCAAUAUGUAUACGUCUCGUUAGCCAAUUAACAAAAAAAGAAACGUAUUCGUAUAGUUAGCAUCGAUAAAAAGAAAAGUGGACACCGAUGGUUCGGUACAGUGCGAACGGUAGCUUACGUUAAACGUUCCAAGCCCCUUUUACCCGGCUCGGUCGAUUAGUCGCCGUUGCAUUUAUCGUUUCUCGUUCAUCGAGUGUAAGUGCAACGCAUUAUCGAGGGCCGAUGUGGUAAUUCGCUGAGUCCGAUAUUAAUGACGCGUGGCCAAUUUUAAUGAUGCCUAAAGUCGUGAUGACGACUGCGUGAGACCAUUGACGAGUCCGUUAGGUACCUGUCUAUCUCGUUUCGAUAAACCCUUUCUCGGUGAAGUUGAACGAAAGUUAAAUAUUCAAUUUUCAAAAUAAAAAUUAAUCAAGUGAAAAAUACUCGAUAGAAUCGAAUAGAUUUAACAAAGCUCAAAUUGAAAAUACUCAAAGCAAUUAAACGAGAUUAUCUUUCCACGGAAGUAUUAUUCGCGUAUUGAUCACAUAAUCGAGACGAUACUUUUCUGAACGUUGUUAACAGAUUUAGAAAAGCGAAAAAAUCUGUGUACAAGCAAAAAGAAACAUAUCGUUUUCUUGACGCAAUUGAUCUUGUGCGCCAAGAGGUAGUUCUAAGAAAGCCUGAACACGUCGAUGCAUAAAUAUUCUAAUUAAGCACAUAAUUAGCGAACCAAGAGGCAGGGAAUUAUCGUAAUCGCUUGGUAGUAUUUUCAUACGUUAUCAUGGUAACAAUAUCUUGUCCCGAUAUCUCUUUAUCGCAUUAAUUAAGCUGAACCAGCCGGAACACACCUGUCUGAAAGUCAACGGGCACAAUUCCACGACUCGAUCUUUAUACCGAGGCUAAUUGACUCAUUCUUAACUCAUUGCUGCUGCACACGCGGCUCUCGUAAUUGCAACUUUGUUCAUUUCAAUGAGAACCAUCGAAAUUUCAUAAUUAUCUCGUAAUUUAACAAAUUUCUUCUUAAAAACAAAACAGUGGGUAAAAAAGUUCACAGGAUAAAUUUAUAAAAAUGAUUAGAAUUUUAAAUAUUUCUUGUCUGACUUAGUUCGGAAUCUUUUUUUUUUUUAUGGUAGUUCUUAGAGUAAUUAAGGUACUAUUUUCAACCCGCAUCGCGGUCUUUAUCGCGAUCUCCGAACACGGCACGAACUCGGGCUCUAAUUAUUCAGGAAUGAAAAGCGUCCUCACGAUCCGACUUAUGACAUUUGAAAGUGGAUAAAAGAAACUACAAAGGAACAGCCUAUGCGCAAUUCAUUGAUACCGUUCGAUACGUACAAGUAAUUUCUUCUUUAACACGAUCAAAAUGUAUUUUUAUCUCGAUAGAUCCGAUCAGAAUCGGAUGAUGUUACGACCCAGUUGAGAAGCAAAAAAACCGCUGCUCUAAUUAAUGGCCCAAGCGAAACGCGAAGAAAAAGUACACAUCUUGGGAUUUAUUUACGACACAGGUACCGAUAGUAAAUCGGUUAAUCGGCGUGUGCCCGUGAUUAAGCACCGUUCCUCUUCUCUAAACCGUGUUACUUACCUGAAAGCGUCCAGGUAUCAUCAAACUAUACGCUUGUUCGGCUCAAUAUGAUGAGAUCCGCCUAAUAAGGGUUGCAACCGGUGUUUAGAGUGACCAACGACGCGGCUUUCACCAAUUUAAACUCGGCAAUUGCGACCCGCCCGGCUUCUAAUCGACUAUACACGCCGGCAACGGUAAUCGAUCUCGACGAUUUCGCCUACAUCUACGUCGUUACUCGCCUCGACAUGGAACGGGACGAUUCACUAACCGUUAAUAACCUCUCUUUAAUUGACUGGCUUCUUUAAUUGUAACGGGAAUCGAUUUGUUGUACGAUCGAAUUUCGAGUUCCAUUUCACGAUUCGUUGCACUCAACGCAUUCGAAUUUUCGGGUCGACGCGACGGGUCAAGUUUAGAUAGAUGUUGGUAGAUCUUGAAGAUCGAUUAAGAUAAAAGAGAAAAUUGCAUGUAUUUUUCACAUGCAAGAUUCAGUUGGUCUACAGCUUUGCAAAAUUAUAUGGAAUUGCGAAAAUAAUAAUUUAUAUGAAAAUACAGGAAAUUCUAGAGUACUCUUCUUACACUUAUCCUUAAUUGAGAGAAUCAAGAUCACGUCUUCAGUAUUAGGCCUUGAAUAAUUAGAACGAAAUGAUUUUUAGAAAUUUCCAAGAUGAGAAAAAUCAUUUUUGUUGAUCAAAGAAUUCCAUCGAAUAAAUAAAGUUCUCGGAUGAUCAUAAAGCUUCCUGUUAGACAACGAUCGAGUACGUUUUAACAGGAUGCGAGUGGGUGUUGAAGAAUCUUCCGUAGUGACAGAUAUCCACGGAAGAUCAUGAGCCGUGUGCUGAAAUUCGAAGAAGUUGAAGCAUCCGAGCGAAACUUGACGGAGAUAUAUUCAACGACACGCUUAGCUCGGGAUUUUUCAUCGGCUUGGCAUGUCGUUGUAGCGCGUUAACCUUCUGAAGGUAGAACGGAGGUGUGGCACACCCCCGUCCCUCCGUAAACACGAGCUUACGGAGAUACAACAAUGGUCCCCGCAGAUGGAAGAUUGCACAGAAAGGUGCAACGUUCACGUGCAAAGGUCGCCACGCUUGAAUCGGAUAAACGAGGAUAAUGUCGCGACCCAACUAUCAUAGAUGGAUUUUAUGCACCGUAGAAAAAGAUUUGAUACGCAUCUAUGGAUGAUCCUUUACUUUAUAGCUCUAAUAUUUUUCUGUUCAAGUGUCAUUGUCGUUUGGUAAGGACUGGAUAGGAAUUUUUUAAGAAAAUUUUCCUCUCAAAAGAAAAUUCAUUCUCACCGCCGCUAAUUAUUUAUAAAAAUAAUUUUAUCAUUAUAAUCAAAAUUAAUAACAAAGCGUUUGGAAAGUCGUCGUACCUAUUUUGUUCACGUUGAAUAAUACUCAAGGUGUACCGUUGUAUUAUAAGGCAACAACCCCUUUCACUUACUCUAUGCUGCGUUAUUAAUUUAACGUUACAUCCCUUGUUUAUAGAUUUAUACACAUGAAUAUUAAAAAAAAAAUAUAUAUAUAUAUAUAUAUAGUAUGUUAUUAUCUCACACUAUUUCCUAGUUUGAUACCACUUUAAUAUUAAAACGAUUGCGAUGAGCGUCAGUGUUGUUAAGACCUUUUGUUAAGGUGACGUGAACCCAAUCCCAAGGUUACCAUGGUAACGAGAUAUUUUCAACGAGAUAAGUAAAUAAAUAAAUAAUGAAACGGAUAAGUAAAUACGAAUAAUACUCAACAGUCGUAGCAUGAUGCCUGGAGCAAAAGCGACCGGUCAAAACUUGCAAACAAGUAAGGAAAAUGAUUUCUUUUAAACGUCGAUUAAAUAAAGAUUAUUAAUAAUUAAAAGGAAAAUAAAGGUUUAAAAGAGUCUCGACUAUGUAUAUAGGAAACGUACAUGUUGGCCUAUCCAGUACAAAAAAAACCAGAUCGUUAUAAUAUUAAUAAGAUCACCGAUUAUUGUGUUGUGUGAAUAAUUACAUUUUAAUGUUGUUAACGAUUUCGUAAUAUAUAUAUAUGUAUACACAUGUUUCUAUACAUAUAC